rnacentral:pre_miRNA from 1 species
UUUUUAGUGUAAGUAUGUCUAAUGCAAUAUUUGGGACAUACUUAUAAUAAAA